rnacentral:rRNA from 1 species
UACGUAGGGGGCAAGCGUUAUCCGGAUUUACUGGGUGUAAAGGGAGCGUAGACGGCACUGCAAGUCUGGAGUGAAAGCCCGAGGCCCAACCAUGGAACUGCUUUGGAAACUGUGCAGCUGGAGUUCAGGAGAGGUAAGCGGAAUUCCUAGUGUAGCGGUGAAAUGCGUAGAUAUUAGGAGGAACACCAGUGGCGAAGGCGACUUUCUGGACUGUAACUGACGUUGAGGCACGAAAGUGUGGGGAGCAAACAGG